GACGAACGCUGGCGGCGUGCUUAACACAUGCAAGUCGAACGGAAAGGCCCUGCUUUUGUGGGGUGCUCGAGUGGCGAACGGGUGAGUAACACGUGAGUAACCUGCCCUUGACUUUGGGAUAACUUCAGGAAACUGGGGCUAAUACCGGAUAGGAGCUCCUGCUGCAUGGUGGGGGUUGGAAAGUUUCGGCGGUUGGGGUUGGACUCGCGGCUUAUCAGCUUGUUGGUGGGGUAGUGGCUUACCAAGGCUUUGACGGGUAGCCGGCCUGAGAGGGUGACCGGCCACAUUGGGACUGAGGUACGGCCCAGACGCCUACGGGAGGCAGGAGUGGGGAAUAUAGCGCGAUGGGCGGAGGCCGGGUGCAGCAACUCCGCGUGCGGGAUGACGGCCUUCGGGUUGUAAACCGCUUGCGCCUGUGACGAAGCGUGAGUGACGGUAAUGGGUAAAGAAGCACCGGCUAACUACGU
rnacentral:rRNA from 1 species